GAUGAACGCUGGCGGCGUGCCUAAUACAUGCAAGUCGAGCGAACAGAUGAGGAGCUUGCUCCUCUGACGUUAGCGGCGGACGGGUGAGUAACACGUGGAUAACCUACCUAUAAGACUGGGAUAACUUCGGGAAACCGGAGCUAAUACCGGAUAAUAUAUUGAACCGCAUGGUUCAAUAGUGAAAGACGGCUUUGCUGUCACUUAUAGAUGGAUCCGCGCCGCAUUAGCUAGUUGGUAAGGUAACGGCUUACCAAGGCAACGAUGCGUAGCCGACCUGAGAGGGUGAUCGGCCACACUGGAACUGAGACACGGUCCAGACUCCUACGGGAGGCAGCAGUAGGGAAUCUUCCGCAAUGGGCGAAAGCCUGACGGAGCAACGCCGCGUGAGUGAUGAAGGUCUUCGGAUCGUAAAACUCUGUUAUUAGGGAAGAACAAAUGUGUAAGUAACUAUGCACGUCUUGACGGUACCUAAUCAGAAAGCCACGGCUAACUACGU
rnacentral:rRNA from 1 species